rnacentral:rRNA from 1 species
UCUGCCUCUUAGUCUGGGAUAGCCAUUGGAAACGAUGAUUAAUACUGGAUACUCCUUCUAACUUUAAUGUUAGUCGGGAAAGUUUUUCGCUAAGAGAUGAGACUAUAUCCCAUCAGCUUGUUGGUAGUGUAAGAGACUACCAAGGCAAUGACGGGUAGCGGGUUUGAGAGGAUGAUCCGCCACACUGGUACUGAGACACGGACCAGACUCCUACGGGAGGCAGCAGUGAGGAAUAUUGCACAAUGGAGGAAACUCUGAUGCAGCAACGCCGCGUGGAGGAUGACGCAUUUCGGUGUGUAAACUCCUUUUAUAAGGGAAGAAAAUGACGGUACCUUAUGAAUAAGCACCGGCUAACUCCGUGCCAGCAGCCGCGGUAAUACGGAGGGUGCAAGCGUUACUCGGAAUCACUGGGCGUAAAGGACGCGUAGGCGGAUUGGAAAGUCAGAUGUGAAAUCCUACAGCUUAACUGUAGAACUGCAUUUGAAACUUCUAAUCUAGAGUAUGGGAGGGGGA